ACUCAAAUGAAUUGACGGGGGCCCGCACAAGCGGUGGAGUAUGUGGUUUAAUUCGACGCAACACGAAAAACCUUACCUGGGCUUGAAGAGCUAGUGGUAAAACCUGGAAACAGGGAUGACCCGCAAGGGAGCUAGCAGAGGUGCUGCAUGGUUGUCGUCAGCUCGUGUCGUGAGAUGUUGGGUUAAGUCCCGCAACGAGCGCAACCCUUAUCCUAUGUUGCCACCCUCGCAAGAGGCGCACUCUUAGGAAACUGCCGGUGACAAACCGGAGGAAGGUGAGGAUGACGUCAAAUCCUCAUGGCCUUUAUGUCCAGGGCUACACACGUACUACAAUGGCCGGUACAGAGGGAUGCAAGACCGCAAGGUGGAGCCAACCCCUAAAGCCGGCCCCAGUUCAGAUUGUGGGCUGCAACCCGCCCACAUGAAGGUGGAAUCGCUAGUAAUCGCGAAUCAGAAGGUCGCGGUGAAUACGUUCCCGGGCCUUGUACACACCGCCCGU
rnacentral:rRNA from 1 species